UCGUCAGCUCGUGUCGUGAGAUGUUGGGUUAAGUCCCGCAACGAGCGCAACCCUCGACCUUAGUUGCCAGCAUUCAGUUGGGCACUCUAAGGUGACUGCCGGCUAAAAGUCGGAGGAAGGUGGGAUGACGUCAAAUCAUCAUGCCCCUUAUGACCUGGGCUACACACGUGCUACAAUGGGCGGUACAAAGGGUCGCGAACCCGCGAGGGGGAGCCAAUCCCAAAAAGUCGCUCUCAGUUCGGAUUGCAGGCAGCAACUCGCCUGCAUGAAGCCGGAAUCGCUAGUAAUCGCGGAUCAGCAUGCCGCGGUGAAUACGUUCCCGGGCCUU
rnacentral:rRNA from 1 species